AUUGAACGCUGGCGGCAGGCCUAACACAUGCAAGUCGAACGGGUGGCGGACGGGUGAGUAAUGUCUGGGCAACUGCCCGAUGGAGGGGGAUAACUAAUGGAAACGGUAGCUAAUACCGCAUACCAUCGGAUGUGCCCAGAUGGGAUGAGCUAGUAGGUGUGGUAACGGCUCACCUAGGCGACGAUCCCUAGCUGGUCUGAGAGGAUGAACAGCCACACUGGAACUGAGACACGGCCCAGACUCCUACGGGAGGCAGCAGUGGGGAAUAUUGGACAAUGGGCGAAAGCCUGAUGCAGCCAUGCCGCGUGUAUGAAGAAGGUCUUCGGGUUGUAAAGUACUUUCAGCGAGGAGGCGUUACUCGCAGAAGAAGCACCGGCUAACUCCGUGCCAGCAGCCGCGGUAAUUC
rnacentral:rRNA from 1 species